AGGACAGCAGCAGCUAUUCUGGCCAUGAACCCAUGACUGGUCCGAGGUUAAAUUUGGAACGGUGAUGAGACGAGAUGAACAUCAGCUGUGAACAUCCACUCAGGGGAAAUCCUGAUCAGCCGUGAGACUCCGCUCAAACAAAGGCACAUGCAGUCUUGACAGAUGGGGUAG